AUGGGCAGCAGCAGGCUAAGCCCCGCCCUUCUCCCCCUUGUUCGGGGGACUGUCCGUGUUGGUCCUGAGGGAGGGGAGCUGAGCUGCUGCUGCCGGUCGAGGAGGAGUGGGAGUGCGUGCGUCCAGCUGCUUCCUCCUCCUCGGCGGCGUCCCAGCGGGAGGGCCACUGAAGGGGCGAGGGGAGCCCCGGGCCGCCGCUGCCACCCUCCCUCGCUCCUCCCCGGGGCUGGGCAGCAGCCGCAUGCCCCCCCGCUUGCCUGCCUGGAUGGAGCUUCCGCUGGGCCCCAUCCUGACCUGCUCCCCGCACCGCCCGCCCGACGGGGCUCAUCGAUCCGUCCCCGGGCAUGCCGUUAUGCCCCCUCCCUAAGGAUGGGAUCCGCUAGGGCGGCCGCUGCUGAGCCUCCACCCAAGGAACCGCCAAGCGCCGCGACGGGGGGGCAAGGGCAGGCGCCCCCCCUCACGGCCCUGCUGGCGUCUGUCUGGCCUCCGAGGAGGACGGAGAGCGGGACCGGGAGGGGGGCGUCGCGCGGGGGGAUCCGCUUCUGGGUCCAGGGAGCGACUGAGGCGCCCCGAGGGAGGGCGGCCGAGGACCCGGUCCCGGGGAACUACAGCUCCCGUAAGGCGCACGCAGCCAGCCAGUGGCAGGGAAGAAGAGCUGCGACCCNCGGUUUCAACACCCCCAGCCCGCAGGUCGGAAACGGCUGCUGCUGCCUCUCGCUCUCCAGGCCGUUUAUGCUGGCUAGCAGCCCCGCGAAAGGCGUUUCGAAAUGGCCGGCAGNUGUAGNNGGCGGCGGCGGCGAGCGAGGCUUCUACUCUGGGGAUUCCCCACCCCGCAAGCAACGUCGGCACGCUAAGCCCCGCCCCGCCUGCUGCGGUUGCGCGUUGGCCCGUCUCUUCCUUCCCCACUGGGCUGAGACAGAGCGUCUUGCGGCCAUUAGUCAUGAUCGUUGUGCGCAUGCGCUUGCGGUCGCGCGCCUAGAUUCAAACGGAGGCGUACGGCAGGCAGGCAGGAGCCGCAGCAGCAGGCGGGCCAGUCAGCCGUAG
rnacentral:lncRNA from 1 species